rnacentral:lncRNA from 1 species
AAACAUUCAUAUAAACAUGCAAUUCAAUGAUAAACACAAUCAUUUAUGGUCGAACAAUCAAAACUAGGUCUUAAUCGAGACUACAAAAGCUCUUUUGUUAACCCGGGAUCGAAAUAGUACCAAAUUGCAAGGUUUUAAAAGUUUAAAGCCGACCUUAUGAUGUCGUCAAUUCCACAUCAGGACGUUGCCAAAAUAAUAUGUCACGUCGUGACGUCACUUACUAUUGAUCGACGUUGCGAUAAGGAAAGUUGCUCGCCGAAACGAGGACUCUGUUUUUGGUAAAAAUGAACCAUUUGGUACCUAUUUCAAAGCUCCCUUCUAAACCCAUUGUAAAUACCCAAUUUUGCCCAGGUUUAAAAUCCCGAAUUACAAAUGGGCCACAAGGCCCAAACCAAAACAAACAAAGGCCCGAAUACAGAGGCCCAAGAUAGAUAAUGAAACCCUAGGGUUUCUAAUCUUCAACAGCGCCGCAAGAUGAGUCCUCUGGAUCUCCAUGAUCUUCACCUGCAAGGAAACAAUCAUCAAGAAAGAAACAAACAACAUAUGGAAAGAAAAUCAUGGAUUUGUGAAUCAAAGAUAUCAGCAGAUUUCUUUCUUUCUUUGAUUUAUUAUUAUCAUGGCUAUAAAAAGCCUUUGAAUACACUGUAAUGAGGGAUCGAAAAUCAAUACAAAAAAAAAGAGUUAUUAUUUUCAUAACAAAUAAAGUACCAAAGAGCAAAGAUCAAUCAAAAAAAAUCAAAAGGUUGAUAGUUUUUUUUUUUUGAACUUUAGUUUCUUUUUUAUUUAUUUUACCCGAAUCUUUUUUCAUUUUUUUUAAAUACACGAAAAGGGAGAAAAGGAAUACUUGCAUGCGGGAAGGAGACAGAAACCCCAUUUGCUCCGAUCAGAUCGGUGUUGAAGGGGCUUUGAAUCCAUUGAAACGGCGGCGGCGGUUGACUGUUGGAACCCUAGCAAAGGAGGCUAGGGUUCAUAAGUUUUGUUUUUUUA